rnacentral:misc_RNA from 1 species
AAGGCAUGAUAUCGACUUGCUCUAGAAUAUUCUCUAGUGGCCUUCUCACAGUCAACAAACCUACACAUACCACUAGAGCUCGAACACUCAUCCAUCGUCUCUCCGGUUAUUGCUUUCAGCUUCGGGCAAUGGCUGACUCCGCUACUCCAUUCAAGAAAGUUCAGAUUCAAAGGGAUGAUACUACAUUUGAUGCCUAUGUAAUUGGAAAAGACGAUGCCCCUGGAAUUGUUGUGCUUCAGGAGUGGUGGGGUGUUGAUUUUGAGAUAAAAAACCAUGCAGAGAAAAUUUCUCAAUUUGAUUCUGGUUUUAAGGCACUUAUCCCUGAUUUGUAUCGUGGAAAAGUUGGCUUAGAUGUUGCAGAAGCACAACAUCUGAUGGAUGGUCUUGACUGGCAAGGGGCUGUCAAAGAUAUUCAGGCUUCAGUUAAUUGGCUAAAGUCAAAUGGAUCCAAAAAGGUUGGAGUUACUGGAUACUGCAUGGGUGGUGCUCUUGCGAUUGCAAGUUCUGUUUUGGUCCCA